rnacentral:misc_RNA from 1 species
CUGUAAUAUACUUCAAUCAGCCGCUGUUUGUGGAGCUAUUGAAGGAUGCGGAGCGAGUAUACGGAUACAAUCAUUCGGGUGGAAUAAAGAUACCUUGUGGGUAUUCGGAGUUUGUGAAGCUGAAGAUCAGGAUUGCUGCAUGGGAUAGUAGCCACAACAGUAGCUGCAAGUAGCAUAAGCAUUGGUGAUGUGGCAACAAUUACAAUUUUCCCCUGUAAUUUUAUUUACGGAAAUUCUGAUUCCACUAAUUUUUGUGUAUGCCAG